CCCGCAACGAGCGCAACCCUUAUCCUUUGUUGCCAGCACGUAAUGGUGGGAACUCAAAGGAGACUGCCGGUGAUAAACCGGAGGAAGGUGGGGAUGACGUCAAGUCAUCAUGGCCCUUACGAGUAGGGCUACACACGUGCUACAAUGGCAUAUACAAAGAGAAGCGAACUCGCGAGAGCAAGCGGACCUCAUAAAGUAUGUCGUAGUCCGGAUUGGAGUCUGCAACUCGACUCCAUGAAGUCGGAAUCGCUAGUAAUCGUAGAUCAGAAUGCUACGGUGAAUACGUU
rnacentral:rRNA from 1 species